GCCUGGUUAGCUCAGUUUGUUAGAGCGUUGUGCUGCUAAUGCCAAGGUUGCAGGUUCGAUUACCGUAUGGGACA